rnacentral:rRNA from 1 species
AUUGAACGCUGGCGGCAGGCCUAACACAUGCAAGUCGAACGGUAACAGAAAGUAGCUUGCUACUUUGCUGACGAGUGGCGGACGGGUGAGUAAUGUCUGGGGAUCUGCCUGAUGGAGGGGGAUAACUACUGGAAACGGUAGCUAAUACCGCAUAAUGUCGCAAGACCAAAGCGGGGGACUUUCGGGCCUCGCACCAUCAGAUGAACCCAGAUGGGAUUAGCUAGUAGGUAAGGUAAUGGCUUACCUAGGCGACGAUCCCUAGCUGGUCUGAGAGGAUGACCAGCUACACUGGAACUGAGACACGGUCCAGACUCCUACGGGAGGCAGCAGUGGGGAAUAUUGCACAAUGGGCGCAAGCCUGAUGCAGCCAUGCCGCGUGUAUGAAGAAGGCCUUCGGGUUGUAAAGUACUUUCAGUCAGGAGGAAGGGUGUGAAAUUAAUACUUUCAUGCAUUGACGUUACUGACAGAAGAAGCACCGGCUAACUCCGUGCCAGCAGCCGCCGUAA